rnacentral:lncRNA from 1 species
UCAGCCUCUUGCCGGAGAAGAAGAACCAGUCGCCAGAGAAGGGAGCUUACCACCGCCCGCCGUCGUGCCGGAGCCACCUUCGACCGUCAAAAAAGGUAAAAAAAAUUUCAUUCGCUCGAAAUUUGAUUUUGAACACCCUCAUGGCCAAAUCGAAGCAAAAAGACCGGUGGAUUAGCCAAAAAUCACGGGUAAAGUGCGGCAACGUCGCCGCGGAAAAAACUAAAAAAUUACUUCCGAUGAGGCCCUUCCUGAUUUCCGUUUUGUGUAAUGU